rnacentral:lncRNA from 1 species
UCCUUUUAAAAAAAACUAAAAAAACCUCUGAAAAAAGGGCUCCGACCCUCAGAGCUCCGACCUCAUGGCCGUCCUGGCUCGUCCUAGGGUCUGGCGUGCUUGGUCUCCACGCGCUUAACGAGCCGCCACCAGAGCCACCGUAUACGGUGGUUAGGGUUUCAAAAACCCUCCAUUUUCUUUGCCGAUUCUCAGGUAUCAACCUUCUCCCUCUGUUUUGAGUUUCUAUUUUUUAGAUCUGGGUGUGUGCAUGUUAGUAAAUGACCAGAUAAGAUUAAAAAAGAAGAAAACGAUUCGAUUACCUUUGAAAAACGAGAUUCGCCUUUUAUUUCUCUGUUUCAAAAGGAUUACAAUGGUUCGUGCUAUUCUAUUAGGUAAAUCCCUAUACCUUCUUUUUUGUUUCUCUUUGCUUCUAAAAACUCUCUUUUUUGAUUCCCUGCUAUUCUUCUCUCUGCUUUUGUGUGGGUGUAUUUCUGCUAUCGGGUCUCUCCCUCCGUGUGUGUCCUUUUUUACAGAAUAAAAAGAAGGCUUUAUAGCCUCGACUACUACAAUUUUUGGAAAGAAAUCUUUGAUUUCUUUCCGUAUUUGCUUCGCAUGUCUGCUGUGAUUUUCUUUCCUUUUCUUGCAGGUACUUGCAAAAAAAUCCGGCAAUAGCAAAGGCUUGACGAUGGUCCACUGGUGGCGUUGAUCUCAGCGUGAGUUGGGGCCUAGAAUCAUAGCCUUGAUGGGGUAGCAGGAGCUGAAGAGUCAUGAGGCUUAGCUUCUGGAACCUUCUGUUUGCGGCGUGAAGAGAAAGAGGGCAGAAACCCUAGGGUUUCUUGCCUGGGUCUGCAGAUGUUUGGGCCAAUUGGGCCUCUGGAAAUUUUGGGUUUGUAAUGGGUAGAGGUGUUUUGGGCUACCAGUCUGUAACGGGUCCAUUGCAACUGUUUGGGACUUAGUUUAGGCUGGGCUAGUCUAGUAAAAUUUGGCUGUUGGGUUUGUGUAUUUAGGCUUUGUAAAAAAAAUUUUAUGGACUGUUUAAAUUAAAUAAAUAAAUAUUUAUUUAUUUAUCUAUUAAUUUUUCAGUUUUAAUAAUCCGGGCAAAUUUUGGUGAUUACAGCUGCCCCUCUUUGCUCAUUGCUAUGUAAUAGGAAUUGAGCAAAGACCAUAAAGGACCAAAUUUGCCCGGCCUAGCCCAAUCUUUGCGAUCUUUUCCUCGAAUGGUCUUCUACCUUCUCCCUACAACCUCAAGAAUGCUAUGCUGAUAUUUUUGAUCUGUUUUCUGCCGAACACAGAGACACUGAGUCUGCUUCUUCGAUUUGUAAGGAUGUCAAAUCAUCUUGAAUCUGUUUGAGAACAUUUGAGAGUCAUAUCUGCAAUGUCCUCGAUUUGUUCCUUGUAAGCACAAGGAUGCCAAACCAUCUUGAGUCUGUUUGAGAACAUUUGAGAGUCAUAUCUGCAAUGUCCUCGAUUUGUUCCUUGUAAGCACAAGGAUGCCAAACCAUCUUGAGUCUGUUUGAGAACAUUUGAGAGUCAUAUCUGCAAUGUCCUCGAUUUGUUCCUUGUAAGCACAAGGAUGCCAAACCAUCUUGAGUCUGUUUGAGAACAUUUGAGAGUCAUAUCUGCAACGUCCUCGAUUUGUUCCUUGUAAGCACAAGGAUGCCAAAUCAUCUUGAGUCUGUUUGAGAACAUUUGAGAACAUUUGAGAGUCAUAUCUGCAACGUCCUCGAUUUGUUCUUUGUAAGCACAAGGAUACCAAAUCAUCUUAGAUCUGCUUCAGUAUAAACAUCUGAAGGUUAGAUCUGCUAUGUCCUCGAUUUGUUUCUUGUAAACACAAGAAUACCAAAUCAUCUUGGAUCUGCUUCAGUAUAAACAUCUGAAGGUUAGAUCUGCUAUAUUUGAGAACGUCUGAGAGUCAAAUCUGCUAUGUCCUCGAUUUGUUUCAAAAAUACCAAAUCAUCUUGGAUCUGCUUCAGCAUAAAUGUCUGAAGUCUAGAUCUGCUGUCUUCAAUUUGUUUCCCAGGGAUGCCAUGUUGAAAUCUUUGAUCUUCAUUGUCCCCUAGAGGACAUGACCUGUAAGAUGAGUAUGUGCCUAUGCCUAAGUAUGCUAUGAUUGAAAUGAGUCGAAUGUCCUUAACAUGUUAUGAUGCAAAGUGCUGUGAAUAUGACCCCCAUCUCAGGUGUCAUCAUUCAUUCCUUCAUUUAUCUUUCUCAAAAUUUUAUUCUUACUCAGCUUGUAGGCCUUCCUCCAAUGCUAUGAUCUACUGAGGAUGUCUGUAAGAAUUGAAUCAUCCAUUUCUUUUUGGACUGGAAGAAAGAAAUCCCUCGAGUUCCUUCAUCCCUUACUUACGUGAAUUUCUCAAACAAUUGUCCUGUUUUAGUUUCUUGUAUCAUCUAGAAAUUCCCAAAGUAAUGUGCAAAACUUCAUUUGUGAAAAUAUUUUAGUUCAUCUAUCAUUAUUUCAAUGCAACAUACUUUAAAAAUAUCGGGAGAUGAGUAAAUCUUUGAGAAUAAUUGGAUUCGAAUUGUUAACAGUACAAAGGAAAUAAGGAUGAUAGCAUAUCUUUAAGAAGAAAUAGAAUCUAAAGAUAGCAAACAGGAUAAAAAUCAGAUGCUCUAAAUAUCGCCGCUUGAGCAUCUAUACAUUAGUUCCCUGAAGCCUUUCUUGACUUCGACAUGUAUUUAAAAGAUCCAAAGUACUUUAUUGAUGCCCCAAUGUACACUGUGCCUCACUUUCUGUCGAGUCAAAUAUAGCAAGGUUGCUGUAUGCCCUUCAAAAUUUGAGCUGCCCUUUCGGGUUUUCAACUCAAAAUCCCUUUGGUCACAAGGUGCCCUUUGUGGGUUUUCACCUUGGCCUCUCCAUUUUUUUUUCAAGGCGCCCUUUGCGGUUUUUCACCUUGGAUUCUUUUCGCUUUUAGACAAAGUACUUUUUGACUGAGUCUGAAUUCACCGGAUUGGGUAGGCUUUUUCCAUCCAUUUCUGUCAAAAUCAAUGCACCACCAGAAAAAACCUUCUUCACGACGUAUGGCCCCUCCCAAUUUGGCAUCCAUUUUCCUCUAAAGUCCUUCUGAAUGGGAAGGAUUUUCUUUAGCACAAGUCCCCCUCACGGAAUUCCCUUGGACGAACCUUUUUAUCAUAAGCUCGCAUCGUACGCUUCUGGAACAUCUGACCAUGUUGGAUAGCCUUCAGCCUCUUUUCCUCAAUCAAGUUUAGCUGGUCAUAUCGAUACUGAACCCAUUCAGCUUCAUCUAACCUUAUCUCUGUUAAAAUUCGAAGAGAAGGUAUUUCCACUUCAAUAGGUAAAACUGCUUCCAUCCCGUAAACUAACGAGAACGGAGUUGCCCCAGUAGAAGUUCUAACAGACGUUCGAUAAGCCAAGAGUGCAAACGAUAGCUUUUCAUGCCAAUCCCUAUAAGUUUCAGUCAUCUUUCCCACUAUUUUCUUAAUGUUCUUAUUGGCAGCCUCCACUGCCCCAUUCAUCUUUAGACGAUAGGGUGAAGAGUUGUGAUGCUUGAUUUUGAACUGGUCGCAAACCUCUGCUAUCAUUUUGUUGUUCAAAUUUAAUGCAUUGUUGGAUAUGAUCCUCUCAGGCAUUCCAUACCGACAAAUGAUUUCCUUCUUUAAAAAUUGACUUACAGCUGUCUUGGUAACAUUUGCGUAAGAAGCAGCCUUUACCCAUUUUGUAAAGUAGUCAAUCACUACGAAAAUAAACCGAUGUCCAUUCGAAGCUUUCGGCGAUAUUGGUCCGAUGACAUCCAUGCCCCACAUGAAAAAUGGCCAUGAAGACGUCAUGACAUGUAAAGGUGAGGGUGGUACAUGAAUUUUGUCUCCAUAAAUCUGACACUUAUGGCAUUUUUUGGCAUAGUUGAUACAGUCUCCUUCCAUAGUGGCCCAAUAGUAGCCAAACCUCAUGAUUUGUCUUGCCAUCGUGAACCCAUUUACAUGCGUACCACAUACACCUUCAUGAACCUCUUCUAAAAUUAGCUUGGCUUCCACAGCAUCAACACAUCUCAAAAGUACUUGGUCUUUCCUUCUCUUGUACAGAACAUCCCCGUCCAAAACAUAGUCACAAGCUAAUCUUCUCAGGGUUCGUUUGUCAUUUUCGGAUGCCUGUGCUGGAUAUUUACGAUCUCUUACAUAUCGCAAUAUAUCCUGAUACCAAGGAUUGUCAUCCUUUUCUUCCUCUUCAAGGUUACAACAGCUAGCUGGAGAUUCAUAGACACUCAUUUGAAUUGGUCUCAUCUCUUCCUCUUUGUUUGCCUUAAUCAUUGAAGCCAAGGUUGCUAAAGCAUCUGCCAUCUGAUUCUCAUCUCGUGGGAGAUAGUUGAAGGUGAUGUCAUCGAACUCUCUUAGUAACCCCAAAACUAUCAUUCGAUAAUUGAUCAAUUUAGGGUCUCUUAUCUCCCAUUCACCUCUUAGCUGAUAGAUUACCAACGGAGAAUCUCUAUAUACUUCUAGGGUUUUUAUGCCUCUUUCUAUGGCUGCUUGGAGCCCCAUGAUGCAUGCUUCGUAUUCAGCCAUAUUAUUUGUACAGUCAAAAUCCAACUUGCACGUAAACGGGUAAUGGUCACCAUUCGGGGAUACCAAGACUGCCCCAAUUCCAUUUCCGACUGCAUUAGAAGCCCUAUCAAAAUUUAGCUUCCAUGGAGAAUCUUCAGUUGCUGCUAUACACAUUAGCUCCUCAUUUGGAAAAUCAAAAUUCAAUGGCUCGUAAUCCUCCAAAGCUCUACUGGCCAAGAAGUCUACCACCGCACUUCCUUUGAUAGCCUUCUAACUUACAUAGACUAUAUCGAACUCUGAAAGCAAAAUUUUCCAUCUCGCCAUUCUUCCAUUUAGAGCCGUUGAUUCCAUCAUGUAUUUUAAUGGAUCUAAUUUUGAGAUGAGCCAAGUAGUAUGGUAUAGCAUGUACUGUCUUAAUCUCCGUGUAGUCCAAAUCAAUGCACAACACAACUUUUCGAUUGGCGAAUAUCUCAUUUCACAGUCAGUGAAUUUCUUACUGAGAUAAUAAAUUGCCUUUUCCUUUUUCCUUGACUCGUCAUGCUGACCAAGCACACAUCCCAUAGAAUUGCUAAACACUGACAAGUAUAGUAUUAACGGUUUAUCUGGACUAGGCGGAGAUAACACUGGAGCAUUCAACAAAUACUACUUGACUUUCUCAAAAGCAUUCUGGUAUUCUUCAUCCCAAACACCUUGAUUGUGCUUUCUGAGGAGAUGAAAGAUAGGAUCACAUUUCUUAGUCAAUUUUGAAAUAAACCGAGCAAUGUAAUUCAACCUUCCUAGGAAUCCUCGAACUUCUUUUUGAGUACGUGGUGGAGGCAACUCUCGUAUGGCUCUGACCUUGUUUGAGUCAACUUCAAUUUCCUUUUCACUGACUACGAAACCUAAUAACUUCCCCGAUCUGGCUCCAAAGGUUCACUUUGCUGGAUUGAGCUUCAACUGAAAUUUUCUCAACCUUAAGAACAAUCUUCUCAAGACCUCAAUGUGUUCUUCUUUUGUUCACGACUUGGCGAUCAUAUCAUCAACGUAUACCUCAAUAUCCUUAUGCAUCAUGUGUGGCAGAGAAAAAUUAUCCUUUGGGCUUGCUUUGUUUAGAUCUUUGUAAUCAACUCACAUUCGUACCUUCCCGUCUUUCUUAGGGACUGGUACAAUAUUAGCUACCCAUUUAGAGUACUUUACUUCCUGCAGAAAUCCUGCAUCAAACUGCUUCUUGACCUCAUCUUUUAUUUUCAGGACAAUGUCUGGCUGCAUUCUUCGCAACUUCUGUUGGACCGGUCUACAUUCUUGUCUUAUCGGAAGACGAUGUACUAUAAUGUCAGUACUCAAUCUGGGCAUAUCCUGAUAAGACCAUGCAAAGAUAUCCUUGAAUUCCUGAAGCAACUCAAUCAAGCUACGCCUUGUGUCAUUAGUGAUCAGUGUUCCAAUUUUCACCUCCUUCCCUUCCUCUAGGGCUAUAUUCUCUAUUGCCUCUUUUUCAUGUGGCAUGAUUUGUUUCUCCUCCUGUCUUACCAUUCUUAUGAGAUCGAGAGAUACGUCACAAUCUUAAACAUCUUCAAAAUCUUGAGGCUCCUCUAAACACAUGUCUUGCUCACAAGAGAAAUCAGGAGCAGCAGUAUUAGCGCUCAUAUCAUUGAUAUCUAGAGACCUGUGAGGGGUAUGAAAGAAUAUACAAAGAAUGAAUGAAUUUAAGAAUGAUCGUUUAUGUGCUAUGAAUAGAAGAAUAAGAGUUGUUAGAAUUUAAAGGAAUAUUGGUUGAUAAAAAUGAGGCAAUACUCUUUUAAAUUAGUAAAAGUUAUGCUUUAUUUUAAUAAUAAUAGAUGAACAUAAGCCUAUUUUCACAAAUGUAAUCUUACUACUCCUAGGCCCUAGAGUAAUAAACAUGUUUCGAGAAUUACUUUGAAAUAUUUCUAAAGACUACAGGAAGAUCCUUCGCAGUCUAAUUGUUUAGAGAACUCCCCGGUUCGUAAGGGCGAAUACCCUCGAGGUUUUCCUGUCCAAACCACUCACUAUGUACAACAUUGAUCUGAUGACUCUCUUCUACCAGCAACCCUCCUGACUUAAAGGUUUUGGAUAUAGGUGGGAAUGUCAUCAGUUCCCACUCUACUUCUCCUCCGUUCAAACGCGCCUUCCUUCUUGCUUGACGCUUUUCCAUCUCCCGUCUCUUUUGUUUAUGGUCUGGCUUAAAACCCAAACCAAAACGAUCCUUCUUCUCUAUCAAUUUUGGGACUUGAAUCCCUCCUUGCAACUGUCUUCCUAGUCCUUUUCCUGGCAAUGCUCCUUUCCCCAUCAUUACUUGCAGGGCCAUCAUUGUUGCUCUAGAUAUUUUAAGAACCGGUGUCUCGCUUUCCUCCGAAAUGAAGGUAGUAUUAAUAAUUUCCAAGGAACGAAAAGAACACUCGAUAGCCUCCUUAUUUGUCUCUACAUAAGGGGCUUUACUGGUGACAGCUGCUAUGAUGUCCUCCUCUGCAUUGAUGGUUAUCAAGCGUCCAUCUGUCACCAACUUCAAUUUUUGGUGCAGUGAAGAGGGCACCGCUCCUGCUGAGUGUAUCCAUGGCCUUCCCAACAAACAAUUAUAGGAGGGCUUGAUAUCCAUUACCAGGAAGUCAACAUCAUACGUAUUUGGUCUAAUUUCCAGAGGGAUGUCAAUUCGUCCCAUUACUUUCCUUUCAGUUCCGUCAAAGGCUCUUACCACAUUAUGACAUGUCUUCAUGUGUGAACUGUCGAUGGGUAAUCUGUUCAAUGUAGAUAAUGGAAGGAUGUUCAAAGCGGACCCAUUAUCAACGAGUACACUUGGAAGCGUGUAUCCUUUGCAACGAGUGGUGAUGUGCAAAGCCUUAGUUGACACUAUGCCCCUAGGUGGAAUUUCAUCAUCAUUGAAGUAGAUGAAAUUAUCAGCAUUGAUGUUAUUUAUCAACCGGUCCAACUUAUUGACAGAUAUAUCAUGAGUGACAUAUGUCUCGUUGAGUACCUUCAACAAUGCUUCUCGAUGCACUUCAGAGCUUAGCAGUAAGGCUAAAACCGAUAUGCGUACUGGUUGCUUACGCAACUGCUCGACCACACUGUACUCACUAUGCUUAGGGAACUUUAGAAAUUCUUUUGCUUUCUCCUCCCUCACUGGCUCGUUAACAGGUACUUCACUCUUUUUCUCAAUUUCAACAUUCUUGGGUUUUGUGAGCUCCACUCUGACGUCUCCCAUAUCAUAACGCUUCCCACUCCACGUAUGGGAACCUUCAUCUCGUACAUCUUUAGAUGCGCUGGCUAUGUUUCCUUCUCCCGGCACCGUCACGCUACAGUCAUAACUCCAUGGUACUUUCUUGCUAUCCUUGUAAGGGAAAGGAGUAGGUGUAUGGAUAAUAACAUUAGGCGCUGCUGGUGUCCCCAUUUUAUUAUUCCCUGGCAGAGAGAUAAUGAUCUUUGGUCUACUGGUUCUUUACUGUUCAUUUUCCAGCACACAUACUUGCUUUUCACUAGAGCUACCUUCAUAAACCUGUAGCUCUUUGUUGUCUAUGAAGCCUUGUACCAAGGCCUUGAAUUCCUCGCAAUCUUCAUGAAGCUUACCGUAAUCCCACGUUCUUUCUUUCAUAUUUUUAGAGGUUAACAUACCUCUCUUCAUCAUCUCCUCCCAGAUUACCCUCAUAGGCAUCCUUAUCUCAUCAACCUUUUUCUUUUCCCUUUUUUCACCGGCUUCACCAAUGGCAUUUACUCCCUAAUUGUCAUGGUUCGGCAAAGAAUUCUCAGUAUUUGGGGUACUCUCAAAUUUCAAAACCCCAUUCUUGAUCAACCUCUCUACGGCUUUCUUGAAUCCAGUACAAUUCUCGAUUGAGUGCCCCGAUAUUCCAGCAUGAUACUCACAUCUGGCAUUUGCAUCAUACCAUUUAGGAUACGGAGGUUGUAAUGGUUUUAAGUGGAAAGGGGCUAUAGCAUGCGUAUCAUAUAGAUUUUGAUAGAGCUCCCUAUACGUCACAGGUAUAGGUGUAAAUUGCAUCCUCUCAUGCCUAAUGUUGGAUUCCUGCUUUUGAGAGUCUUGUUGCCCAACUGUGGCUACUUUGGGCUGGCUAACUGUGACUGCUUUUGAAUUGAAACCACUUGUAUUGUUUACCUCAUUGUCUUUUCUUCUUAGGGUUGAUCUUUUGACUACUUCCCCCUCAAUUCUUCCUCCUCUUAUGGCAUUCUCUAUCAUCUCUCCUGCCAUAACUAUGUCCGCAAAACUUUUAGUAGUGCUUCCAAUCAUAUGAGUAAUAAAUGGGGCUUUCAGAGUAUUAAUAAAUAACAUAGUGGUCUCCUCUCCAACAGUGGUGGUUGGACCUGCAUCGCUACCUCUCUCCACCUCUGUGCAUAUUGCCUAAAAUUCUCAUUAGGCUUCUUCUCUAUGUUUUGCAGGGUAAUCCUAUCAGGGGUCAUGUUUGUUACAUGAUUGUACUGUUGCAUGAAGGCUUGUGCAAGAUCCCUCCAUGAAGAUAUUCUAGCCCGGCUCAACUGAUUGUACCAUCUGGCUGCCGCUCCUAUCAAACUAUCUUAAAAACAAUGGAUCAACAGCUGAUCAUUGUUUACAUACCCCGUUAUCCUUCUGCAAAACAUUGUGAUAUGGGCCUCUGGGCAAGUAGUGCCAUUAUACUUUUCAAAUUCUGGCAUUUUGAAUUUGUGAGGUAACACUAGGUUUGGGACCAGACUUAAGUCAUUGGCAUCAACCCCAUGAUUAUUUCCAAUGCCUUCCAAAGCCUUGAACUUUUCUUCUAACCAUCUGCAGCGUUCAUCCAAUUGCCUUGUAGCUUCAGCCUUCAAAUCCUCCUUUUCCACCAUAUCUAGAUCGGGAACAAGAGGAUUGUAAGAUUGUCACCCAUAUUAAGUCCUGAACUAAUCGGGAAAUUCACAUGGACACCAGCAUCAAUUGGCCCGUGCUGAGGCCUCAGAGUAGUAGAUGGUAUUCUAGGAGGUGCCUCAGUUUGCAAUGAUACAUGCAGCGGUGUAAAACCUGGAGGAGGACCCUUAUUUUCCUCUUCAGUGAUGGCCAUAGGAGCCUUUCCUUUAUCAGUGGCCCUUAGUAACUGAGCCAUUUCGGCCAUUAUAUUCCUCUGAGCUUCCAUCAUUUGUUCCCUCAUCUCAUUCUGCAUCUUAGCCAACUGCUCUUGCAACUGGUCUUGCAUAUCCUUUUGCAAUUGCUCAAACCUUUGAUCCAUGUUCUUAGUUUUAGUGCGAGUGUCGUAAGGAUGUGUAAUUUCCAGUUUUCUUUUCUACCUUUGUAAAGAAACUUUAACUAAUUAGGGUCUUUCUAUAACCUUAAAUGCAUAUGAUAUGAUAUAAUGCAAAUGUAUGAAUGCAGCGAAGGCAUCAAUCUCGAUUCAAUCUCAUUUAGAAAACUUUAUUUAAAAAAAGAAUAUCUUUACGUAUAAAUGGAUUACAAGUAUGCUUUCGCCCUAAUGCCCAAAGUUUUAACUCUAUCUAAUAAAAGGGCUAACUCUCUUCCUAUGUCUGACGACGACCCACACAUCAUACUCAAUACGUUGGCUCGUACAGCCAAGUCUUGCACAUAUUCAGCACCUCUAGAAUCUGAGCUAUGGCUUCUUCCAUGACAUGAUCUCUUUCUCUAAUCUGCCCUCUAGACUGAUGAAGCUUUCCCUUUAGAUAGUCUCCUUGCGUCUCGAGUUGCUCUAUCUGAAGUUUACCUUCCUCCAAUGCUGCUUCCAAAUCUUCAACUUUACUCUUUAGCUCUUUUAACUCGACCGUAGAAUCAUGGUUGCGAUGCCAACGAAGGGAUCUUCCAAGCUCAGUUACUUUAGACUUCAACCCUUUAUUCUCUUCUUCUAAUGCCAAAUUCCGCGAUUGCAUCUCCUGAAACUUCUUCUCCCAGUACUCAGCUCUAACCUUUCCUUCUUGGACCUCUUUCUGCAACUGAUCUGAAGACCCUCCUAUUUUCGCUCUUCUCAAGGAUACCUGUGCCUUCUUGUAGUGUUCUUUCAAGUCAUCUCUAUCCUCUACAAUCUUCCUCUUUUCCUUUCUUUCUUUUUCUACUUCCAUCUUCUGUACAUCGAUAUAUAAACUCAAGUAAAUCUUUUCUUCUUCAAGUUUUGCUAUCCUUUUCUCGAGCUCCAGAUUUUUCCUCUCAAAUUCUUGCUUCAUAAUUUCUAACUCCGAGGGCAUCACUUGCAGAUAUUCCUCCAUCGGUCGAGCUCCUUCCAUAUUUGGCUCAGGAAUGUUAUCAUUGAUCCUUCUACCUCUCCAUUCAACAUAUUUUGGAGUCGUAGCAGGGCCAAUAGCUACUCCUUUCAACCGGCACGUCUUGUUCCAAGCGCUAGAGAUCUCACCGACCCUUUUCUUAUAAUCGGCUCCUCUAUAUGCGAACUCACUUUGAGUUAGCCCAUGAGUCGCUGGCACGAACUGCCUCAAACCGAAUUGCCUUAACACGAGCAAGGGAGCAUAACCAAUGGCACCCCAAAUUCCCAAUAAAGGGACCCAAUUGAAACUGCCGCAACGGUAAAGAACCUCACCAGGAAUCAUCCACGGAGCUCUCCACUCAACAUCUUUCGACUGAAGAUUUUGAAGUAGUGCAAUCCAAUUCUCCUCUGGAACAUCAACUCUCCUAAUUGAAGCGACUAUGUCCUUCAGUGGUGAGUAAUCCUCGAAGAAAACCCGACAAACAACCUUAUCUAUCAACCGAAAAUGACUAUAGAACCAAGCUAGAAGCAAUUGUGCACAACCAACAAACCUGCCUGCGCCAGCUUUCCUACAUGCGCCUAAGGACCUGAAUGUCUCUGCCAAUAUUGCAGGGACAGAGGUGACCCUCUUACUGAGUCUAUAGAAAAGAUCCGUGGUUGCCUCAUCCACAUAUCCCAAGGCCCUAGGGAACACCAUCAAUCCGUACAAACUUAAGGCAAAAACAUCUACCCUUUUUACUUCAUCAGGGUGUGUUAAAAUCAAAUCCUUCAAAGCAUCCCAUGAAAUGCACUUGCACUCGCCCUUCUCUUUAAUUCUGGCAGUAAUCCACUGCUCGCUUAUCCCUGUAAUAGCCAUCAAUUUCUUCCAAAAGGUAGGGACAUUAACAGCUCUAGAAUAGAUUCUAUCUUCCUGGAACCUGGGACAACAUAACAAAGCAGUGUACUCCUCUACAGUAGGCGCCAAAUCUACCUCCCCGAAAGUAAAGCAACUGUACGCUGGAUUCCAAAACUGAGCGAGGGCUCGAAACAAGUGCUCAUCUAUUUGAACAUCGAGCAAGUAAGGUAAGUCUCCGUAAUUACCGUAGAAUAACUAUUUAGUCUCGUUGCCCCAUUGAUCCCAAAUCUCCUUAAGCUCUUGGAGAUUAUUCUGUGUAACACUGAUGCGAGUAUAUCCUGACAGCUCCAACAUAUAUCCCGCAGCUAUACUAUCUCCCUUUUCUCACUGAGUUUGCUCAGACCAUCUAUGGACGUUGGCGUUGCCCUCCACUCUAUCAAGAAGUCCGUUCUCCAUAAUAAAACUCUCUAAUUUAGACGCUGACCGUGAAUCGAUACCUUUGUAAAUGCAAAAUGUCAUGCAAACAAAAGAAGAGAAAUAGUCAGUAUCACAUGAUAUCAAUAAAUCUCAACAAUAAUUUAUAAGGGUAAUAUCUAAAGUUUAACUCUAACUAAGUUGGGCUCUUAUGGUUUUUUCUAUAUGAGGUUGGUUCUAAAGUUUGAGGUACCUGAACCAGCAGAUUCCUCGAUCCUCACCCAUUAUAGGCUCAUUUGAAUCGAGUUCAGUUCAGGGGAAUACAUUUCCCUAUGGCUACACGGAGAUGAAAAUCUCACGAAACCAUAGGUACGGAUGUAUCCCGAAAGUGAUCCACUAUCCUGCACGAAGGUGAAAACCUCACGAAGGCGUAGCUUCUCACUCCCACUUAAGGUUGUGACCACAACGAUCAUGCAAAUGCAAUGCGUAUUAGAAUAUAGCAACACAUGCAAUAAUACAAACACAUGUAAAGCAAAGAGGAUUAAAUCUUAGAAUUUUUUAAAUUUUCGACAUCAAGACAAGAGGUAAUCAAUUACACGGCUUGACUCUCUUAUUGGUCCCUAGUGGAGUCGCCAAGCUGUCGAAACCAUUUUCAAAUCGAGUUUUGGAAAAUGGGAAUCGACUUUAAGAAAAAUGAAAACGGGAGUCGCCACCAAUCUUUUUAGGUGUGAUUGGAUCACCUUUAAAACAUUUGUUUUAAAAUCUUUGGUUUUGGUCUACGAAAUCAAAAGAAUGGGUUCGGGAGUCGGUUACGUACGAGGAAGGGUUAGCACCCUCGUAACGCCCAAAAAUUGGUACCUAAUUGAUUAUCAAAUGUCUUUAAGGUCGAAAAUUAGAAAUUCUAAGAUGUAAUACUCUUUAAAGUAUUUGAAAAUUUGGGUUUACUUGUAUCAAAGUAUCGACUAUAGGUUAGCCUUUAGAAAUCUCUAUCUCAAAACAGCAAAUGCUACAUCCAGUAAGUUAGGACAUAUCACUUUGCAAUUCCAAGACAGUCACUUAUAUUUUGAAAUCCUUUAAAAACUUUAGAAGGGUACUUGACUAUUCAAACUUAACGAGAAAAGUUGCAACCCAAUAAGUUAGGGCACUACUUUUUUCGAAAUUUUCAAACACCAAGUAUUGCCUUUAUAUUUUUUUGAAAAUUUUGGAGACUUGUCCUUUUAAAGAUGAUGCGUGGAGAUUUGUAUUGCAUUAUAAAUCAUAAUAAUAUAUUAUUGUACUAGGUAAAUAAAAAAUGAAUACUAUGAUAAAAAGAAUAAUACAUAUAAAGCAAAAAAAAAAAUGCAAACAAAGAUAUAGCAUGAAUAAACAAGAUAUAUAAACAUAUGAGAUAAUAUUUAAAUGAUGCAUGAUAUAAAAACAAACAUAAUCAAAUAAUGCAUGAUAUACAAAUAGAAUAAAUGUAAUGUCAAUAUGCAUAUAAUUAUAAAAAAAAUUAACACAUACAUGAAACAUACAAUACAAAACAUAUAGAAGAACUAAUAAAAAAUGAUUGAUUGCUAACAAAAUAUACAUACAAUUAAAAACGAGAUAUUUCAUUUCCAUUUUAAAAUAGUAUCUAAUAUAUAAUAUAAUAACAUAAUAAAAGAAUAAUAAUUAUAUAAUAAUAUAUUGGUUUGAAAGUAUGUAAGAGAUUUCAUAAUAUAACAAUAUUAGUUUAAAAUGAAAUAAUAUAUAUAUAGUAAAUAAAUAAAAAAUGAAAUGUGUAUAUAAUACGAGUUUAAAAAUAUAAUUUAAUAAUAAUUUACAUUUUUAAAAUAAUAUAUAUGUAAAAUAAUAUAAUUUGCGAUACAUGAUAUACAUAACAUAUAUAUAAAAAAAACAACAAAUAAUAUAAAAAUAAAACAUAAUAAAGAUUAUAUAAUAAAAUGUAAUAUAAACAUAUAAGAAAAAUAAUAAAUAUAAUAUAAAGUAACGUAUAAAACAAUAUAUAUAUAUAUAAGUAAUUAAUAAAUAUAAUAUAUGUGAAAAUAUAAUAAUAUAUGAAAGAGAUGUAAAAUAAUAAUUUAAGGAAAAUAAUAUAUAUAAUAAGUAAUAAUAAUAUAUAAUUAAAAAGAAUACUUAUAAUAAAAUAAUUUUAUAAUAUAUAAUAUAAAAGUAAAAUUAAAAUAAACAAAUAAUAUAUAUAUAUAGAAUAAUAUAAUAAAUAUAUGACUAAAUUUAAAGUUUAACAAAAUUAUGGGGCAAAUUUUGAAAGGGAAUAAAACUGAAUUAAGGAUUAAAAUAAUAGAUAAUAAGUAAGGAUUAAAAUUAAAAAUAGAUAGAAUAUUAGGGUUAAUUUAAAAAAAUAAAAAAAACAAUUUGGAUUAAUUUGGAAUGCACGCUAAAAUCUCAGGGACUCGCUGGGUAAAUAACCCUAGUCCUUGAAACGGUGUCGCUCUCAGGAUUAGCAUUGAACAGAGGACUAAAUUAUAAUGAAAACAGAAUAUUUGGGCCAAUUUUAAAUAAAACGAGAUUUGAAUCAGAUGAAAUUAAAUAAUCUAAAAAUGCAGAAGGACCGAGGGAAUAAAUGUCCCACUAUAGCGGUAAAACACGCGGACCUUCGGAUCGGAUCGGGUCGAAUUUUGGACCCUAUAUAAAUCUCAUUUUGCCCGAAAAAAAAACAGUCUGUAACUCCUUUAAAAAAAAACUAAAAAAACCUCUGAAAAAAGGGCUCCGACCCUCGGAGCUCCGGCCUCGUGGCUAUCCUGGCUCGUCCCAGUGUCUGGCGUGCGUGGUCUCCACGCGCUUAACGAGCCGCCACCAGAGCCACCGUAUACGGUGGUUAGGGUUUCAAAAACCCUCCCUUUUCUUUGCCGAUUCUCAGGUAUCAACCUUCUCCCUCUGUUUUGAGUUUCUAUUUUUUAGAUCUGGGUGUGUGCAUGUUAGUAAAUGACCAGAUAAGAUUAAAAAAGAAGAAAACGAUUCGAUUACCUUUGAAAAACGAGAUUCGCCUUUUAUUUCUCUGUUUCAAAAGGAUUACAAUGGUUCGUGCUAUUCUAUUAGGUAAAUCCCUAUACCUUCUUUUUUGUUUCUCUUUGCUUCUAAAAACUCUCUUUUUUUGAUUCCCUACUAUUCUUCUCUCUGCUUUUGUGUGGGUGUAUUUCUGCUAUCGGGUCUCUCCCUCCGUGUGUGUCCUUUUUUACAGAUUAAAAAGAAGGCUUUAUAGCCUCGACUACUACAAGUUUUGGAAAGAAAUCUUUGAUUUUUUUCCGUAUUUGCUUCGCAUGUCUGCUGUAAUUUUCUUUCCUUUUCUUGCAGGUACUUGCAAAAAAAUCCGGCAAUGGCAAAGGCUUGACGAUGGUUCACUGGUGGCGUUGAUCCUGGUGUGAGUUGGGGCCUAGAAUCAUGGCCUUGACGGGGUAGCAGGAGCUGAAGAGUCAUGAGGCUUGGCUUCUGGAACCUUCUGUUUGUGGCGCGAGGAGAAAGAGGGCAGAAACCCUAGGGUUUCUUGCCUGGGUCUGCAGAUGUUUGGGCCAAUUGGGCCUCUGGAAAUUUUGGGUUUGUAAUGGGUAGAGGUGUUUUGGGCUACCAGUCUGUAACGGGUCCAUUGCAACUGUUUGGGACUUAGUUUAGGCUGGGCUAGUCUAGUAAAAUUUGGUUGUUGGGUCUGUGUAUUUAGGCUUUGUAAAAAAAAACUUUUAUGGACUGUUUAAAUUAAAUAAAUAAAUAAAUAUUUAUUUAUCUAUUAAUUUUUCAGUUUUAAUAAUCCGGGCAAAUUUUGG